rnacentral:tRNA from 2 species
GGUGGGUUGCCCGAGCGGCCUAAGGGAACGGUCUUGAAACCGUAGUGACGUGCAAGCGUCACCGUGGGUUCGAAUCCCACCGCCUCCG